GACGAACGCUGGCGGCGCGCCUAACACAUGCAAGUCGAACGGAGUCAAGAGGAGCUUGCUUUUCUUGACUUAGUGGCGAACGGGUGAGUAACGCGUGAGUAACCUGCCCUGGAGUGGGGGACAACAGUUGGAAACGACUGCUAAUACCGCAUAAGCCCACGGAUCCAUGGAUCUGCGGGAAAAGGAUUUAUUCGCUCUAGGAUGGACUCGCGUCCAAUUAGCUAGUUGGUGAGGUAACGGCCCACCAAGGCGACGAUUGGUAGCCGGACUGAGAGGUUGAACGGCCACAUUGGGACUGAGACACGGCCCAGACUCCUACGGGAGGCAGCAGUGGGGGAUAUUGCACAAUGGGGGAAACCCUGAUGCAGCGACGCCGCGUGGAGGAAGAAGGUUUUCGGAUUGUAAACUCCUGUCGUUAGGGACGAUAAUGACGGUACCUAACAAGAAAGCACCAGCUAACUACGUG
rnacentral:rRNA from 1 species